rnacentral:lncRNA from 1 species
GAAAAUAAACACAUAUUUAUAUGUAUAAGACUAACCAAAAUUAAACUUAUAACCUCAUUUACAAUCAAACCACAAAAUAACUAUUAUUUAGACACCCUAGGUACAUGCCGGCACAAAAGUAUAAACAUCACCACAUUUGAGUUCAGGAUCGUUGUUGGAUACUGAAUCGGCGAUCAAACGUUAAGUACCUAACCUGCGCAGGGGAAACAAAACCGUACGCUGAAUAUAAACUCAGUGGUAUUUCUAUAAUCCAAAUAUUUAAAGAUAAGAAAUUACAAAUAUACAAUUGAAAUAUAAACACAUAUUAAUAUUUAAUUAUUACAACAACCAUAUCAUAUUUCAUUUGUUUCGCAAAUAUCUCAAUUCUCAUACUUGCUAUAUAAAUAGCUUUUCACAAUUUAUUUCAUGUUUCAUUAUACAAUUGCAAUAUCCAUUCCAUAGUCAUUUCAUGAGUAUAUAACUCAUAUAUUCCAUAUAUUUGCAACAUAUUUCACAUUCUAUUUUCAAUUCACUAUUUCACUUCCAUUUCUCAUACCAUACCAUUUCAAUAUCAAUUAUAAAAUUUUAUUAUUCAUUUACCCCUAUUAACACGACUCGGACUUGGACGGAUACACGGAUCCAAUCAAAACACACCAGUUUGGCACCCAGUGCCUCAUUGGAUAAUUCGAAGUAAUAAUUUAACACCCAGUGUCUCAUCGGUUAAAACGAAGUGAAUUGGCACCCAGUGCCUCAUCGAAUUAAUCCGAAGUAGUAAAUUGACACCCAGUGUCUCAUCGACUCAAAGUCGAAGAAAUCUCUGAACUCUUCCAAUAUUAUGGCAUGCCAUUUAUAUCCGACUCAGCCUGAUACAGUUAAUAGAGUUUCAAUUCACUUUUCAAAUACAACCAAUAUUCAUUUCAAUUCAAAUAAUCAAUAUAAUCAAUAUAUAUAUACCAAUUCAAUCAAUAUAAAUUCAAUAAAUUCAUCACAUACUAAAAUCAAUCCAUUUCAAUUGCAAAACACAAUAAUUCUCACCUCAACACUUACCAUAUACAUUAAAUUAAAUUAUAACAAUUAACAACUAAAUUCGGAUUAUAGAAAUGCAAACCAAAAAUUUCGAGCUAUUCCUCGUCGACUUUAUCUUUCCCCUUUUUAGUCGAGGAUUCUGGUACGACGUUAGCUACGGAAUUAAAACAAUUAAAAAAAAUCAUCAAUACAACACAAUUCAAUCUCAUAAUUAAUAAUUCAAUUUUUAUUCAACAUUUUUCUAAAUUCCAAUUUAGUCCCUAAACCGAGACUAAUUUUAUUUCUUCACAAUCAAUUUUAUAUUUUCAUUCAAUUUUCACUUUAAACUAAAUUUAACUCCCUAAUUUCACUUAAAUCUCUAAUUUCAAUUUUUUCACAACUUAGUUCCUAUUACACAAAAUUUACAAUUUAUUCUACAAUUCAAUCCUUUUUCAUUUCUAACUUAAAAAUCUAUCAAUUUAAUCCCUAAUACUAAAAUUAUUCAACAUAAAAAAUACUUAAAAACUCAAUAAUUUCUAAAAUUUUGACAUGGGUCGGGUAGUAUUUAACACUAAGAUUCCAAAAAUAUAAAAUUACAAGAAAAAGAGACUAAAUUGACUAACCAAUUAAACUUAGAACUUUGAAACCCUAGUUUCUCCUUUCUCGAUCUCCUUCUUUCUCUUUUUCCGUGUGUUUCGUUUCUAU